rnacentral:sRNA from 1 species
UAAAGCAGAACACAGGCUAAGUGCGCCACGUCCUUAUGUCUUCGCCUGUGUAACCCACAUCCUGUGGG